GACGAACGCUGGCGGCGUGCCUAAUACAUGCAAGUAGAACGCUGAAGAGAGGAGCUUGCUCUUCUUGGAUGAGUUGCGAACGGGUGAGUAACGCGUAGGUAACCUGCCUUGUAGCGGGGGAUAACUAUUGGAAACGAUAGCUAAUACCGCAUAACAAUGGAUGACACAUGUCAUUUAUUUGAAAGGGGCAAUUGCUCCACUACAAGAUGGACCUGCGUUGUAUUAGCUAGUAGGUGAGGUAAUGGCUCACCUAGGCGACGAUACAUAGCCGACCUGAGAGGGUGAUCGGCCACACUGGGACUGAGACACGGCCCAGACUCCUACGGGAGGCAGCAGUAGGGAAUCUUCGGCAAUGGGGGCAACCCUGACCGAGCAACGCCGCGUGAGUGAAGAAGGUUUUCGGAUCGUAAAGCUCUGUUGUAAGUAAAGAACGGGUGUGAGAGUGGAAAGUUCACACUGUGACGGUAGCUUACCAGAAAGGGACGGCUAACUACGUG
rnacentral:rRNA from 1 species